UCCCCAGACUCCUACGGGAGGCAGCAGUGGGGAAUAUUGCACAAUGGGGGAAACCCUGAUGCAGCAACGCCGCGUGAGUGAAGAAGUAAUUCGUGCUGUAAAGCUCUAUCAGCAGGGAAGAAAAUGACGGUACCUGAGUAAGAAGCCCCGGCUAACUACGUGCCAGCAGCCGCGGUAAUACGUAGGGGGCAAGCGUUAUCCGGAUUUACUGGGUGUAAAGGGAGCGUAGACGGCUGUACAAGCCAGAUGUGAAAGGCCGGGGCUCAACCCCGGGAGUGCAUUUGAAACUGGGUGGCUGGAGUGUCGGAGAGGCAGGCGGAAUUCCUAGUGUAGCGGUGAAAUGCGUAGAUAUCAGGAGGAACACCGGUGGCGAAGGCGGCCUGCUGGACUGCAACUGACGUUGAGGCCCGAAAGCGUGGGGAGCAAACAGGAUUAGAUACCCGAGUAAA
rnacentral:rRNA from 1 species